ensembl:snRNA U5 U5 spliceosomal RNA
GUACUCUGGUUUCCCUUCAAAUGGAAUACUUUUUUCACAUUUCACUAAAGAUUUCCGUGGAGAGGAAAAACCAUGAGUUUCAUUUAAUUUUUUGAGAUGUAAAAGCGGCAUUUUCAA